rnacentral:rRNA from 1 species
AUGACGGUCUCUUUGCCGCCGGUCGUCAUUCGGCCUCCCAAGGAGGCUAAGGAGGAGCGAUCAUGGACCGCGCCAGCGUCGGGACACACUAAGCUGAAUACCGAUGGCAGUUUCAUUGCGGCGACAGGAGCGACAGGAGGAGGGAUGAUUUUGCGUGAUGAUCGAGGAGAAAUCAUCUAUACUGCGUGUAGAGAGCUGCGCACAUGCGAUAAAGCACUGGGAGCAGAACUUGCAGCCUGCAAGGAGGGCCUUGAGCUAGCCCUAAACAGGACCGGAUUGCCUAUCACGGUCGAGCUUGAUUGCGCGGAGGCUGUGGCGUUGAUCACAGCAGAUGUGGAGGAUCGUUCGGUGCACCGUGCCCUCAUUCAGGAGAUCCGAGAUAUAGCGCCUGCCGCUGGAAGGGAGAUCUCAUUUACUCUUUGUUGCCGGUCACAAAAUAAAUGUAGCCAUGAACUUGCCUCUUACGGGCGACGAACCCCCCGAACUGCUGUGUGGUUCUACUCGGGGAUUGACCCUGUUGUACGUCUGGCCUCUGCUGAGAGACCACCUUGA